rnacentral:rRNA from 1 species
GCAAGUCGAGCGGACCGACGGGAGCUUGCUCCCUUAGGUCAGCGGCGGACGGGUGAGUAACACGUGGGUAACCUGCCUGUAAGACUGGGAUAACUCCGGGAAACCGGGGCUAAUACCGGAUGCUUGAUUGAACCGCAUGGUUCAAUCAUAAAAGGUGGCUUUCAGCUACCACUUACAGAUGGACCCGCGGCGCAUUAGCUAGUUGGUGAGGUAACGGCUCACCAAGGCGACGAUGCGUAGCCGACCUGAGAGGGUGAUCGGCCACACUGGGACUGAGACACGGCCCAGACUCCUACGGGAGGCAGCAGUAGGGAAUCUUCCGCAAUGGACGAAAGUCUGACGGAGCAACGCCGCGUGAGUGAUGAAGGUUUUCGGAUCGUAAAACUCUGUUGUUAGGGAAGAACAAGUACCGUUCGAAUAGGGCGGCACCUUGACGGUACCUAACCAGAAAGCCACGGCUAACUACGUGCCAGCAGCCGCGGUAAUACGUAGGUGGCAAGCGUUGUCCGGAAUUAUUGGGCGUAAAGCGCGCGCAGGCGGUUUCUUAAGUCUGAUGUGAAAGCCCCCGGCUCAACCGGGGAGGGUCAUUGGAAACUGGGGAACUUGAGUGCAGAAGAGGAGAGUGGAAUUCCACGUGUAGCGGUGAAAUGCGUAGAGAUGUGGAGGAACACCAGUGGCGAAGGCGACUCUCUGGUCUGUAACUGACGCUGA